rnacentral:rRNA from 1 species
AGUGAACGCUGGCGGUAGGCCUAACACAUGCAAGUCGAACGGCAGCACAGUAAGAGCCUGCUCUUACGGGUGGCGAGUGGCGGACGGGUGAGGAAUACAUCGGCAUCUACUUUUUCGUGGGGGAUAACGUAGGGAAACUUACGCUAAUACCGCAUACGACCUACGGGUGAAAGCAGGGGAUCUUCGGACCUUGCGCGUUUGAAUGAGCCGAUGUCGGAUUAGCUAGUUGGCGGGGUAAAGGCCCACCAAGGCGACGAUCCGUAGCUGGUCUGAGAGGAUGAUCAGCCACACUGGAACUGAGACACGGUCCAGACUCCUACGGGAGGCAGCAGUGGGGAAUAUUGGACAAUGGGCGCAAGCCUGAUCCAGCCAUACCGCGUGGGUGAAGAAGGCCUUCGGGUUGUAAAGCCCUUUUGUUGGGAAAGAAAAGCAGCAGGUUAAUACCCCGCUGUUCUGACGGUACCCAAAGAAAAAGCACCGGCUAACUUCGUG